UACUAACGACGUAGUUGAUUUAACGACGGGAGACUCGCGGAUAUUUGUAGGAUGAGCGAAAGUUCAUCGUGAUAUUAUCAGCAAGAUCGUAGAUAAAUCUUUGCCACGUUGUACGCUCUGACUUGUGCGCGGAUACAAAGCGGAAGCGCGAGCAACCACACGGUCUCAUUAUUCACACGAAGUUUCCUUCGAAAUCCUCGAUGACGUUCGCAAGAAAAGAGAGAGAGAGAGAGAGAAAGAAAAAGAGAGAAAAGAGAGGAGAGAAAAAAGAGGGAAAAUAAAGUUAAAGUAAUAAGAUAUAAUGACAAAUUAUCCUAUAUUAUAUAUAUUCGAGUUAUAUAAAGUAUUCCGUUAUAAAAUACCUUCACGUAGGCUGAGGUUAAUCUAUGCAAUUUCUAUAAUGUACAUCGCGUACACGUUGAACUUGAAAAUCGGAGGAUGAGGAGAGUGAGAAGAAGGAAAGAAGAAAAAAAGGAAGGAAGGAAGGAAAACAUAUUUAAAUUGAUUUCGAGAUAACAAAAAUUACUGAGACUGAAAUUUUAGUUAGAAUCCGGAUGAAAAUGUGAUAAUAAUAAUGCGUGUCGUUCUGGCAAAGUAGCAAAUCGCGCAACGUACCCGUUCCGUUCUCGUGAUUCCGGCUCCUCCAGUCCGAUCCUGACGGUCAAUCGCCGUUCUCCGUGGAGGCCGCAUAUGUGCGCGCACACACCCACAUACACACGCAUACACACAUAUGAUAGCACACACAUACACACACACACACACACAAUAGCGUCCGUGGAUUCGCGGUGAAUAGAAGCGGUGCGUGUAAACAUGAUUAGACAGAGCGUGCGUGCCGGUUCGUGCUUAAUUAUCUUUACACGCUCGCAGAGGAUGCAUCGCUCGCAGGAUGGAUAACUCGAAGAGUGGAUCAUCAUCAGCAGCGCAUCGGCUCUGCGAACGGACAUUUCGCAUCUCACGGUCGUGACACGGUCGGGGGAGGGAGUGGGCAGGGUUCUACGGGCAACGUGGCUCACGGUCUUCUCCGUGCGAUGCACGUGCGCCAAAUACGAUUACGAGAUGAAUGUGGAUCGGCCCGGAUCAGAAUGGAUUAGACGCGCUCGUCUACGAUUCUCCUUGUUCGCGGGCACGGGUCCGUCGAUGCCGCCGCUCGCAGAUUGAAUCGGGCAGUUUUCCAUCCUGUACGGACGAUGAUUCACUGUCGAGAAAUCGUAAUCACGCGAAAGUAACGACGGACUCUCUCUCUCUCUCUCUCUCUUUCUCUCUUUCUCUGUCUCUCUUCCUCUGUCUUUGUCUCUCGCCCCUCGAACGCCGCCGGAGAGACAGACUCGUCUAUGCGCUUUCUUCCAACUAGAUCGCGUUUUCUCCGAUCACAUCGUCGUCUCGCGUCCGACGGGAAACGUGCGGAAAUUGAAUGUGAUGGGUCGUGAGAAAAUCUCCGCCACGGCGCGACGCGUCCUGUUGUCGCGUCGUCUGGCAAGCGGCACCCGGGCCACAUCUUUGUCGCGCAUCGAUUUUCGAUAUUCGCCGAAGGAUAUCCGGUUCCAUCCAUCCGUCGGACGCCCCUCGAUACGAAUGUCCCGCGCGAGAUCGUGGAUCGCAAUUGAUUCGAGUCAUCCGUGCGGAAUUAUUCGCGCGCGCGCUCUCUCGUGGGGUAUACGCGAAUUUCAGAAGACAAGAACGAGAUUACUCGCAAGCGACCAACUCGACCAAGUCCACUUGAAAGAAAUCGCAGAAAGAAAGAGAGAGAGAGAGAGAGAGAGAGAGAGAGGGAGGGAGGGAGGGAGAGAAAGAGAGGGAAGAGAUGCGACUACGAAGGUAGAACCUGAGAAAAAGUGGUACCAAAUCGUAAAUAACAUAAAAACGUAUAGAGACACACACACAUGUACCCGUGCGCGCAUCUCGCGCGACUCUCCCUCUCACGUGCACAUGUAAACGCACACACACACACACAAACAGAGAGACAAACAUACACGCGCGUCACCGCGAACGACAUACACAGACACACAGAUAAAGAGAGAGAAAAAGAGAAACAUGUAUACUGGAAAGAUGCUUCUAUGCAAGCACCAAUUGAUAAUAUCACUACGAUCUAAGCUUUUUAAAGUCUAACAGUACUAAUAGCGAAUAUCAAGGAACACUUACCCUAAUAAAUACCGUAACGGAUAACGAUAUAGAUACAUAUAAAAACAAAAAUAUAAAUAUAUACAUAUAUAAAUAUAUAAAUACGAAGGUAACGACGAUUGUAAACAAACCAAAAAAAUACAACUAUUUUAUCCAAACAAAGUUUUUGCUACAACCGAAGUAGUAUGCAUCUUACUAUGAAGUAAAUGAGACUUAAGAGAGGGGGAAGAAAAAAAAUAAAAAUAUUCUUAGCUCUAAGGAGAAAUAAUAAUAAUAGUAAUCUGUGAGGAUCAGCUUUGAAUUUAUUUUUACAUGACGUGAAUAUGUGUAAUGCUGAGACGAAUUCGAUGCUCGCGAUUAAUGUUCCGAAUUCUGGGAGGCGCGACACGUGCUCGCGAAAUCCGCAGGCGUCAGAAAGGCCCGCCGCGCGGUCGGGCUCGCGACUUUCGCGCCAAUCCGUCGACAGGCGCGCCAAUCCGAUCGACCGCGCGAAUUCACUUGCAUCCGCGGAGUAAUCGUGAUCGCGCGACGUCACCGGGAACGAUGCCCGCGUGAAUAUCGUAACGAAACACAGGCGAACAGAUCUUCGUGUCGCGACCGAUUUGCCAAACGAAGAGUCGACGUUCUGGUUGGCGCGUGCUUGUACUUGUCGUUGAUGCAAACGGAUUCUCGCGGGCCCCUUCAUCCGCGAGUGAACCCGACCGGACACAGAGCUGGGGGCGCGCACACGGAGAGGUGACGAGUGUGCGUGCGCGCGCGUGUGUGAGGAGCAACAAAUACAAAUAUGCAAUAGUACGCAUCUCUUAUAAUGUACAAUAAGACACUAACUGCGAGAAAUAAUCAAUUACAAGGCAGACGUGACUGAAGGAUAAAGCAAACGCGGAUCUACCUGUCCUAUCAAUCUCCGACCUUGCGAUCGCUUGCAGAUAAAGUGUGUAAGUAGCAUAAACAAAUACGUAAUAUCUGUAAUAUUCCGUAUCGAACAUAGUUAUUUACUAGCCCGGUUGCGCGUAUCUCUUGCUCCUCACACCGCGUCCCACCGCGUUGAUCCGCGCGUCUCCGCUCCGAGAGAAUAAGGUCGCCGCGAAGGAGAGAUCGCGGGGAGUCGCGAUCGAUCGACGCGCGACGUCGUCGUUGUCGCUGUCGCUGUUGUUAUUGUCGUCGUCACGAGCGUCCCUCGACGGACGCUCCAUCUCGCGCCGCGAACGUGCGACAAGCGAUCGGAUCCGCGUUUACAUGCUACUAUUUCCUAAUUUUCACCACAGCGACUUUCUUGCCAAAAUGUAGCGGGGAAUGAGUCGCGAGUCGUCGUUCGCGGACGCCGUUCCAAUCGGUCGCUGCUUUGUGCGCGCGCGAGGGAGAAAGAGAGAGAAAGAAAGAGAGAGAAGGGGAGGGAGAAAGAUAGAUAGAGAAGACACGAUAAAGGAAAACGAGAACUCUACGCUCUCUCUGAGAGAAGUGAACGAACAUCGGACACACCAGCACCAGCCACCGCACUCACACGAAGAACAGCCAAAACCUAUCAACCCUCACGACACCGCUACGCCGCGUUGUUACCAAGUCCCAAUUAGACGUAGAACUAAAUUGGAGUCAAGUCACGCGCGCGCCGCGACGCAAUCCGGUAGCCGUGGUGUCGGUGAUACUAGGAAACAGGGAAUGUACACAUACCCACUCACAAGCAGGCAGUCAGGCAGGCAGGCAGACUCAACGCAGACACAACACACACACAGACACACAUAUACACACGCGCACACAGAGAUUCGCACGCGCCACAAUACGGGGGAUAUCGUACACGCGCCAAUUCACAAGGAACCCACACUAUGAGUCGCGCAUGUAAAAUAGAAAGGUGAGCGAGGUUGAAACACCCUUCUAACUAAGGCCGCUAAUUGCGUAUUAUUACUUCUUAAAUAUACGAGUAAUAAACUAAAUGUGUGUCGUCGUAGACUUUAAGCGCGAACGUUAGAGACUCGCCGAUUCGAGGGCGAGUUUCAUCGCCGUCGCCGUCGUCGUUUAUAGGAAACGGAGCCGGUAGCGGACAACGCACCCUUGUGUCGCGUUACUGCUGGCGGAGCCUCGGCUAUAUUGUCCUGCGCGAAGAGGCGCUCGCCGUGCCCGUUCUCGUCCUCGUGGCCGUCGCGACAUUCGCGCAUCCGUCUUGAUCGGGCGCCGUCGUCGUGGGACAAUGGCGGCAGCACGAAUUCAAGAGAGCCCGACAGGUUCCGUUCCCCGACAAGUGUUAGCGCGACCGCUCGUUCUUCCUUUCUUCCUUGUCCCGCGUCACUCGUAACUUGUCGCGAUCUCCGCCUCUCCUUGUCCAUCUCGCUUCGACGUCGCGAUCGCUUCCUCGCCACCCCCGCGGUGCGCGCGUCACCCCCGUUCAAGGGUGGACGGAAACGAACCGCGACCAUACAGCGUCGCGACCGCUAAUUCUAACACGCCGCACAAGACAAAAUGUCCAGGCGACCGAUGUCAAUUCCUUCAGGUGCGCUUACGCGAUAUUGCACGAGAGCGACUUACGUUCUCCACAUUUUUCCUUCUGUCUUUCUCUCUCUAUCUCUAUAUUCUUCUGAUCUCACCUACCUAUUUCUCUUUUUCUCUUCCUAUCGUUAUUUAUAAAUUUUUUUAUCUCUCCAUCUUUACUAUAUUCUCCACUCUGCUCUAGUCUUUAUCUAUCUCUAUCUCUAACUUUCUUUCCCUCUCUUCCUUUCUCUCUCUCUCCCUUUCUCUCUCUGUCUCUCUACUUCUAACUCCAAGAUAAAAGUACCAAUGUCCGAAUACGUAUCUAAUCUUAGUUUAAUUCUUAUUUAUUUAGUCUUCUCUCUCAAAUACGAAUAUUUAAACUUUCAAUAUAGAGUGUAUGUGCAUACUCAGAACUUGUAUACGCAUUUGAUGUUGAAAAUUUAAAUGUUUGUACUCAAGGACCAAGACAAUAAGAAUGCCCAGGGUUAGAUAUGUGUCCGGGCACUGGCACUUUUGUCUCAACUCUCUCUACUUUCACUCUUUCCUAAUUUCCAACAACAAGUCGUCGUCGACGAUCUCCGCGCGUAAGGCGCGAGCGCGCGCGGCCAAGCCUUUCCAUCGAGAUUCCGCCGCGUCGUUCGUAAUAAACUCGCGCACGUUCUCGCGAGAGAUCCGAGUCUCCACGGUAUCAUCCCGUGCUUCUCUACCCGGCCAUACUUCGAUCGACUACCCGGGACCAAUCGUUCCUUCUGACCCGAAGAACAGUGCGUUUCCUAGUUAUGCCAUGCGACACGCGAGAAAUCAGUUAGGCGCGAGUACGCAGUCCGGAUUAUAUAGCGAAGUGUAUCCCCCCUCUUCGAAGGCACGGUUUCCUUCCUCAUUCUCGCUUUUACCCCCUCCCCUCCGGAACACGAGCCCGUCUUGGACCAACGACACGCGAGAUGACGAGCGUGCGGGAGAACAACGGGGUUGUUUACGCCGCGCUUAUGAUGCGAGCACUAGACUUUAAUGGCAGAGAGGGCAACUCUAUAUCUUAUAGAAUAUAUAUAUACAUAUAUGUGUAUAUAUACAUGUAUGUAUAUGUAUACAUAUAUACAUAUACUAGAAACUCUCUCCAUGUAUAACGAGCUUAAUGUAGUGUGCUGACAUUCUUUGUAACACGAGACUUUUCAUCCAGGGGAUCUUUUCUUUCGUACAUACGGCAAGCUAGAGCAAGACGCGCACGCGAUUGCGUUCGUUGCGAACAAGCGCGUGUCUUUUGCGCGACGACAGGCCGCGUCCUGUCUCGGGAAUGUCGUGAAUCUAACGAAUGCGCAUUACUAUCGUUGAUAAAAGGUGGGCGAUACGGAUAGCGUGAUCUUGAGCUCUUCUCCAGACAGACACCUCUCGCGUUCGCAGGAUCAGUAGAAGAUAUUCGCUCCUUGUGCGAAUUCUCUGACCUGGCACCCUUGAAGCGUGUGUCAUCAGAUAUUCGUUUGUAUGAGUUUCUUUAAAGACACAAACUUGAUCUACAAUGUGUUAUUUGCUUCCUGUUUCUUUUUCUUUAUCUCUUUCAAACCUUAAACUUUAAUCCAGAAAAAGACAGAAGACAAGAACGCAAAGAGCAUAUUGUAGAUCAAGCUUAAGACACACUUCUCGCACUAGACGCGCUGUUUGCCGCGACGGAGAGCCGCUGUUUCAUUUGUCCUGUUCACUCUAACGAGUUUACGGCAGUUGACGGCAGUAGCGUUUAAAGGACAAAUCACACAUUAGCGGGCGUCAAGUGACUCUAUUAUAAAAUAGAGCAUUGUUCAAACGACAAUCGCCACACUGCAAAUCCGAAUGUGUUACUUUCAAACGCAUAAGCAUGUAAUUACUGAAGCUCCUUUCACACGUUUCUUGCGGCUCUAAAUCACGCCAUUGAACAUGUUUAGGGAACGUGCAAAUUAUAAUUUAAUACGUUUGCACGCGUUCAAUAACGCGACUUCAAACGAUAAGAAACAUGUCAAAAGAGAUUCAGCCAAAGUUGCACACUUGGACUUGCGAUGGAAUCUCAAUCAGUGGCUACUAUGCUCUAAUUAGUUGAAAAGAAGUCGGUAAUCGCCGUCCAAUCGGUAAUCGCUAGUGUGAGUAAGGCAAGUGUGAGAAAGCAGUAUAUUCUUCGAUUACAUUUGUUUCUGUGGCAGACUGUAACGUCCAAUAUAAAAUUCUCUAUCCGUGCUUGUAUUCUGCUUAACCCUCUGUGUGCAGUCCUAUUUUUUAGGACACACGGUAUAAUUUGAGUCUGUCAGGCUCGGGCAACUUUGAACUACCAUAUAAUUUUGUUGAAAAUCAGUAUUUUUGGACAUUUUUUUCCAGAAAUAUAGAAAAGUCUCAGCUAUAAGAUGAUAGCGUAACAAAAUCAAAAUCUGCAAACAGAUUUGCGCUGUUUGGACAUUUUCCCGGAUUUGCUACGAAAGUUAGUGGAAUCCCAUCUAUGACGAUCGCUCGGGUCUCACAGAAUCAACAUUGUAGACUGAGAGUUAGGAAGAACAAUGCAUUAAGACACAGGCUUCACGACUGAAAAAUCGCUUUUCCGACUUUCGGUUUCUCUCAACAAAACGUUCAGAUUUUGCCAAGUUUUUUUCCAUUGGUCUCGCGAAACCUGAUUUGGGUAUUCGUAAGCUUGCAAGCACCGCGACCGCGAAAUAUGCGUAUAUUCCGUAUCAAUACCUUGCGAACGCGACAGACUAACUAACGACGCGCUAAAGUUCACACGAAUGUCGGCACGAAAUGCAACACGGUGGAAAAGGUCGAUUCGUGGAACCGGCUUCGGAGCUUUCCUUUAACGCGAACACGACGCGAAAUGACAAAGAUUGAAUGAAAUUCAUCGUAGACUCGAGAUCGAGCGCGAUACGAAGAAAGGUGAUAACAUAACUAUCUGAUUUCUAACGGGGAACCAAACAAGUCCCGAUGUGAAACGCAAUCAUUGGGCAAGCGUGGACUGAUUGUAGCGUGUGUUCGUCCCACGCAGAAAUUCAUAUCACUGUAUACCUGGACUUUCAAUCAAGUUAACACACACACACACACACACACACAUACGUCAUCGUUCCGAAUUCCACGCCGCUCCGGCCGCGUCACGAAUCGAUAAUGAAAGAAGCACGCGUCGUAGAGCCUGCGUCGAAGGGCACGUAACGUAAAGAACGUCAUCGUAUCGCGAGAGGAAGAAACCGCGCGUGCUGGAGAGCGAGGAACGCGUAACGCUAAGAACGCAGAAGUAGGGCUUGUGGUACGUAGCUCUUACUGAAACGCUGAAUAGCGGUUUGAGAAGAUUUGCGCGUAGCAUAGUUUUAUAUAGCGAGCCACUUUAAUAAGGGAAUGGAACUAUAUACAUAACGAUUAUUAUGAUUAUCGCUCUGAAGCGUACUUACUAAGAAUGAACCGAGCACUAUAAUCACCUGCCACCGGGACAGAAUUCACACAUGCAGUACACAGUCGCAGCGUUAAAAGCGCCACUCACUCGCGCAUAUACAUAUAUACACGUACAGCGGUGUAUAUCCGUGUAUACAUGUACGUAUAUGUGUAUAUAUGUACGUAUAUAUAUACAUGUACACACAUACACACACAUUCUCUCUCUCUAUAUAUAUAUAUAUAUAUACACACACAUAUACAUAUAUCGAGCGUAUAUAUAACUACGUAGAAAACAAAUAGCACUUUUGACUAGAGUAUGCGCUAGCCCGAGAUAGUUCGGCAGGAAACAAACGCGAGAGGUCUGCACGACAUACGCAAAAGAGAGAAAAAAAAACAUGAAGAAAGAGAGCAAGUGGAUGCGUGCGUGUAUGCGACGAGUGCGUGUUUCGGAAUGAACGGGAGCGCGAAACGAAUAGUAAUGACGAUGACCGAGAGACACAACAUAAAAAGGGUUACUUACAGAACAUAUUUUAAAUAAUUAAUCGCCAAAAGACAAGUUUUUAACUCUAAUCUCGUAGUGCGUAAGUUCAAGAUAAUUUACGUAUAUUAUAUAUGCAUACUAUAUAUAUAUAUGCAUAUAUAUAUAGCAUACAUAUAUAUACACAUAUAUAUAUAUAUAUAUAAAUAAUAUAAUGAUUGAAAGUCAUUUCUCUAAAAUAAAAUUUAAAUCGCGAGCACGCGGGAGGACUUAGCUCCUGCCGACAGCCACACGCGGGCAAGCUAGAUGCACGACAUGGCACUCGAGUUACGACGGAUCUCAAGGGUAAAUGGUGAACCGACCAAGAUCGGGAGACGCGCGAGUGAAGCCUCGAGCCCGCGAAAGCCGCGCUUUGGGGGGGCUCGGCUGCCCUGAAGAUUCCAGUCGAUCGAUAUGACAUAAGUCUAUGAUCCAGACACAUUCGUCACGCGUCCCAAUCCUAAAGUCUCUCUCUACGCAAAACCGCGUCCGCGUCCGCGAUGAUGUUGCUCGCGCCAACACGCGAGAGUCCGAUAGAGACGACCACGGAAUCGUGCCCGGGAUCGUUUGGGAAGUAGUUACUCCGAUUAAUCGCCGCGUGAUGGGGGUUUCGUGCCGCGCUGCUUGAUCUUUUCGCGAGUUCCUCGAAAGGCAGAGGUCGCGCCGCAGAUUUAAAUGUGUUAUCUCAGCUGAGUUCCUUCUUACACGUUUCUUCUAAGUCACGUCAUUUAACGCGUCUGAGCGUCUUGAAAUAUAAUUUUGACACGCCUUAAACGUAUUGAUCUAAAACGUGAUCUAAAACCGUAAGAGACGCGGAGAAGAGUUACAGCUGAAUUACACGCUUGCGCGUUUAAAAAUGACGCACGUGGAUCUGCAGUGCCCGAUGAUGCCUCGAAUGAUGUCGCAAGGCAGACAUCUCUACCAAUACGCAUACGUCGACGAACAACACGCGGAGUCGGUAACUGGGGCAGUAAGGUUGCGGGGACAAGGGAGUUUAGAGUCGAGAUUUCUCGGGAAGAGAGCGAACAUCUAAAGCUGGAUGCACGCUGAGCGAGUGACCAACGAACGAGCAACGAACAUGUAAGAUACAUUUCAGCGUUCACCUUACGCAUAAACUUUUGUCGAUAAAUCGCGUCACCAGAAAGAAAUAGGACGUUCUGUCCGGCUUUGUUGAGGCAUGCGCAUUUCUUGCAUUGUAUAACGGAAGUUUCAAACAUUCGUUGUUUGUCCGCUCGGUGUAUACACUGCGAAUUCAGAUGUGUUAUUUGGACUGAAUCUCUCUUUAUACAUUUCUUACUGUUUUAAGUCGCAUCAUUUAUUACAUUUAACGCACAGAUCUGGCGGAAGACACCAAAGGCACACAGGUAUACCUGGAUUUUUGCCGAUUUAUAACUCUGCUCCGCGCGAAUUGAUCAAUUUAAAUUUUUUACUUUCUUUACAUAAGAAAAGAAAUUCAGAAAUUUGACGAUAAUGGUAUAAAAACCGGCACAAAAGUAGAAAAAGAGCGAAAAAUUGAUCCAUAUCUGAUUAUAUUCCAAAGAAGACACUUUUUAAAGAAGUCAAUGCUGCAAAUUUGCAGCACAGUGCAGUUAAGCACUGAAAUUAUGAAAUUACAAUCUACUUAAUCUUCGUUUUAAACGUGUUAAGUAACGUGAUUUGAAACAAUCAAGAAACAUGUAAGAAGAGCUUCGGCCAAAUUAUUCACGCUUAUGCGUUUGAAAAGAACACACUUAUAUUUGCACCCAGCUUAACGCGCUUCAGUCAAUCGCGAAUGGCGAUAGGGAUGACGUUCAGACCGGUGUUACACGCUAAUGACGCUCAGGUAGCCACGCGAGACAGUUCAAUGUUUAUGGAAUUCCUACUCGCAUCCGCAUCCUCGUCGCCGAUGGCUCGCGAGAUUGCCCGGGCGACUUAUCUCCACUCUUCUUCGUCCGUCAAGUCUCGUUUCAGCUAGCGCGAGAGUGAGAACAAUAUUGUGCACCAAUAUAUUGUGCCAACAUCGAUUCUCUUCCAAAUUCAUUGCUGCUCCGAGCGCAUUUCGCACUCAAUGCGAAAACAGAAGUUAGGUUGUCGCGUUGGUCGGCAUUUUUCUUUCGAGAGCAUGACGAAUGUAGCAUACAUUCGAGUGCUCUCAUAGUUUCUCCCUCGACACUCACACGAAGCUCUUCUUCGUGUCUUCAUGUAACAGAAUGUAGACGGACGAAUUCCCCGAUAAGAUGCCAUACGAUAAUCGACCUUCUGCAAUCGCAGUCUCUUGUGCUGGGAGGUACAAAGUGACAUUUUUUGCCUUCGACGGCUUUCUAUCACUGCGUUAAUUACACGAUUCAUUGCAUAUCCGGGACACGAGUCCAGCUUGCGAUCGUAAUUAGAAUUUAGGUCGCUGUGUUCUGUUCCUUUUCGCGUACACUCACUCGAGGGGCAAGACUGAGUCCGGGGUCAGGUCGUAGAAAUUAUAAUGCAUUACACUUUGGCGCCUGCUCCAAGUGCAACAGUUGGCUAACAAGUGGCUCUUUCGCACGAGAUGCUGGCGUGAUAACGCGCGAACGGCCGAGGAAAUAAAGCAGAGCGGUAGCGCUCUCGAGAUGACACUCUGGCCGAAGCUUCCCAAUCGCGAGAUUCAUCGUGUUCUCCCCAUUCUCAGCGGAUAUUCUCGGUCGUCGAUACAAAACGCGGGAGAAGCAUGGCAUCUGUGCCAGUUUUAGCGCUAAUCGAAUUCUUUUUCUUACAGGAAUAAUGCUAUGGUAUGACUUUGUUAAAAGUGGUACUAUAAUCUGGGAAGGGCUAGUAAAAGUAAUUCCAAGUUAAUUGAUCCGGUGAAUCGGUAUGGCUCAGCCUUAAGGUCGCAGUCGCAGUCGCGGGAUUUAACAUAACUUGAACACAAAACACCCUAGUAGAAAUUUCAUGCAGCUUUCAAGCAGUUACUGGAUGAUUACUUAUGUCUAGUAACUGAUGGAAUCCCAGUUUAGUUGUUUUUUCGCAGUUACUGCGCGCAAAAGAUGCGCAAAAUUUGAGCAAAGAUAGAAAAUAAACAAAAACUAUUCAAUUAAUUAAGGAUCAAGUCUGGUGCUUAUGAAAUGAGCGGGUUGGCGGGUUGGUCCAAGCAAUAUUUCAUUUUUCCUUCCUAAUUGAUAAAUUUUCACGCUAAUGAGAAUCAUAGUGCAGAAAAUCAUUCAGGAAAUCGCUACGCGAUAUAUACUUUUUCGUUAUUUUCGCCUUUUAUGUGACAUCUUUCAUAAUUAUCAAAUGACAUAUGUCCUUUUAUUCAUUCAGUAAUUGUGCUACUUCACCAGAUUAUCUGAGUCUGAGUUAUUAUGAGUUUUCACUUGUGUCAUUAUCAUCAGAAUAAUCUGAUGUGUCCUCUUAUCGCAAUAAAAUUCUCUAUUAUUAAUAUUUACUCAAUUGUCUUUUGCUUAUUUUCAAUUCUAACUUGAUUCUUGCUCACAUCUCUACCACGAAGUUUAAUAUUGCCAAACGUCUCAUUUCUUCACUUUCCUUUUCUUUAUGUUGUCCUACACGCUUACUCAUUUCUCUCUUAUGCAAUUUUAUAUAUUAUAAGCUUUUUUCUAAUAACACAAAUAAAUGUCUUGAAUUUAUUCAUGGUGAACGCGUACAUUAUCAGCUUGAAUUAAUAUUACUGAUACUAUGUCUUGCAAAGAAUCGGCCCAUAUAUUGUGCAGUAAACUGCCUCAACCGCUGAACAAAACUCUAUCGAAUUCUUAUCCGUUCCUAUGCAGUAUUUUUACAAAGACAACAACUGGGCGAACAUAUCUACGCAAACUGCAAUGCAUUUCUACCAGGAUAUCUGAAAUUCUCGCCUCGAAUCUUUUCUCGCGAAACACACCUUGCGUUUAGACGACCUCAUUGACUUCGAUCAUCGCGGAUAAAAUCUCACAGUGACACUUCGUAAAAGUAGCAGUUGGCGAACUUUAUGGAACAAUUUUGACAUCGACUCAAGAGGGGAAACCAGGUGGUUUCGCAAAUCGUACACUCUCAAGCUCCUCUUGAAUCUCGACUACGAGUGCGACCUAGAAAAUCGGUGGAGGACGCGAGUUUCAGAGCACUUUGACGCGAAUCCGACAGCAACGAGAGACACGCGAGGCAGGAUUUUCCCUUACGCGGUAUUCGCGCGUCCUACGAAAAAUACGAAAACGGGAAGAGGGAGACGCGUUUCUUCUCCUUUUACAGUCUCGCUCUUGUUUUCUCAUCGUGACUCGGGCGGCGUCGGCGUCGGCGGAGCGUCCCGGUGACCCGAACGCCCGCAUAUGAUACGCGCACUCUCCACUCGUUAAAAAAAUUCUCACGAUCGACGUUGACGCAUGUCGCAAUGCUGUGAUCCUACGAUUUUAAUAAAAAAAAUAAAGAAGAAAAAGAAAAAAUAAGACACAUUCACGCGGUCCGCGAAAGGUUUACCGUGAUAACGGCCGCGAUCGCGUAUUCUAUCGAAUCCCAAAGAUCUAUCUAGUCGAACGUUUAGUGAAACCGUACGCGUAAUGUAACAGUGAUUGUUUACCGCGAUUAUUUAUAUUCUCGCUUCAUCGCGCAUUUAUAUACCGGUCGUAUUUAUUGUCGGCUUAUACUUUCUCGCAUUUCAUGCGUGUGAUGCGCUUUGCUAUGUUUACUUGAGGAUGUUAUAUAUACAUAUGUAUAUAUAUACUGUGUUGCGAGAGAAUACACGCUACUUGUUAAAUGAUUCCGUAAUAAGUGAAACCAACGACAGUUGCCCGCGGCGAGUUGCCCGUCGCUGUGAAGAACGGAAUCGUUUCAGGCCCAGAUUGUACCGUCCACAGGCGAGAGAGAGAAAGAGAGAGAGAGAGAGAGAGAGAGAGAGAGAGAGAGAUAAUGUUUCCUGAAUAUCGCGCUAAUGCAACUCCAGCAGACGGUUCAUCCAUUCGUUCUAUGCGCGUUCUUUUGUCAAAGAGUGUUCAGAAAAAAAGAAAGAAAGAAAGAAAGAAAGAAAAAGGAGCCCCUUCACGCAAGUAUAAAUUGAAUAUUGUAUGUCAAAAAAAGGGCCUAAAGAAACACUGUUCACGUGAUCGUGGGAUCACUUUAGAAUCAUCUUUUGUAUCGCGCGCCAACGGAGUCUCAUGCGCGGUGCGUUUCUCAGACGUGCACAAAUCGAUUCGAAUUUUACACUAGGCUGUGGUGCGAGUCCUUCGGAGACUUUUCGAGCUCGCGAGACGCGCUCUUGAAACGCGCUUGCAUUACCCGCUUUUCUUACGAUUUACUCUCUCUCUCUUUUAGAGCCACUUUUAAGCUGCAGCAUUUAGUUGUCGAUGGAUGAAUCGUCCGAGAAAGUGAGCAGUCGACGCGAGCGCGGCGCGCAAACGCGGGCGAGAUCUCUUUCACGUGCACGCGCGUCGUUCUUAUCGUCGUUGACAGAUAUAUCGGCGCCGCCACACUCGAUAACGAUCGGCAUGAUCGGCAACACGAUCGGCCGAGCAACUGUCGUUCAUUUUAGGAGAAAAUCUAAGUGAUCGUACGAGACUACUACACGACGGUGCGUGGCGCGGCGCGCACCGGCGAGACUGACUUAAAAAAAAAAAAAAA